rnacentral:rRNA from 1 species
UACGUAGGGUGCAAGCGUUGUCCGGAAUUAUUGGGCGUAAAGAGCUCGUAGGUGGUUUGCCACGUCGGAUGUGAAAACCUGAGGCUUAACCUCAGGCCUGCAUUCGAUACGGGCAGACUAGAGUGUGGUAGGGGAGACUGGAAUUCCUGGUGUAGCGGUGAAAUGCGCAGAUAUCAGGAGGAACACCGAUGGCGAAGGCAGGUCUCUGGGCCAUAACUGACACUGAGGAGCGAAAGCGUGGGGAGCAAACAGGAUUAGAUACCCUGGUAGUCCACGCCGUAAACGGUGGGCACUAGAUGUGGGGACCUUCCACGGUCUCCGCGUCGCAGCUAACGCAUUAAGUGCCCCGCCUGGGGAGUACGGCCGCAAGGCUA